rnacentral:rRNA from 1 species
CCUACGGGCGGCUGCAGUGGGGAAUUUUCCGCAAUGGGCGAAAGCCUGACGGAGCAAGACCGCGUGCGGGAUGAAGGUCUGUGGACUGUAAACCGCUUUUGACAGGGAAGAACACAAUGACGGUACCUGUCGAAUCAGCCUCGGCUAACUCCGUGCCAGCAGCCGCGGUAAUACGGAGGAGGCAAGCGUUAUCCGGAAUCAUUGGGCGUAAAGCGUCCGUAGGUGGUUGGUCAAGUCUGCUGUCAAAGCGCGGAGCUUAACUCCGUAAAGGCAGU